GCCGGAGGCUCAGGAAUGGGACUGAGUCACACAGUCCCCUGUUGGCCCAAGAGUCGUCUUUGGUCUUCCCUUGGGCUACUCUCACUUUGAAAAUUUCUGCCCUUCUUGAUCAAGUACUGCACGCAGUUAUCUCGUUUUCAGUCUUAAGUCAGAUCAGCACUGCUAGCUUCUGGGUGGAAUUUGGAUUUUUGCCUGCUUGGCCUUGCUUCAUUUCGGACAGUUCCUGACUCGGGAACCAGGCCCACCCGCCCUGCCAAGGAGCUUCACCUUGAAACUGAAAGAGUGGCUCCCAUCCGCAUCUACAGAUUCCUGCUGCCCCAUCCCGGUUAAGACUCCGUCUCGUGGGAGGACAAGCAGCCGGACAAUUUAUUACCGUCAUUUCUACGUCCAUUCCGCUUUCCAUUUUGAUAUUAAAUUAUCUGCCAUAAAGUGGGAGGAAUUAUGGUCUGUGGGCCUUUCCCUUCUCCCUGCUCUUUAUGUGGACAGGCUGCUGGGAAGAAUGCCCCUUCUCAACCAGAGGAUGUGGCGGGUCAGGAAGUCGGAGGGUCACACCUCGGAGCCACUUUCUGCUUCUCCAUCGGCCAGUAUUUGCCUCAUGUCUGCCCGGAGGAGGUGUAGGGGUGGAUGGCUCUUUGUGUGGACCACACGAAGCUUCCAGUCUAUUCCAGGAACAUAGGAGACGGGCAUGCUGAGCAGCAAUGCUGUCGGGGGUGGAAGGACCUCUAGCAGCUGGGAUGUGGGGACAGGUGUCCCAGAGCCCUGGGCGGGGUUUCCCAGAAAGAUGGUCAGCACAGCCCCGAGCUGGGCGGUGGCCAGAGUGGGAGGAGGAUGCUGGAAGCCGGGGCGUGAGCCUGGAGCCCUAGCCAGGGGACCCCCAGGCUGAACAGACAAGCGAUCGCCCCAGGCUUGCACCAGGAAGACGGAGGGCCAGGAACCUCUCAUCGUGGACCCACUGCUUUGAAUCUCACUCAAGAGGUGAGGCUGACGACGUGAGAUGUCCUUGGAGGUGAGGACUUUGGAGUUUAUCCGGAGGGCCUGCUCACAGCCACCCCGAGAGGGGCUGUUACGCACGGGCCCCCUCCCAGGUCGCAGCUGUGCAGGGGUGGACUCGGGGCCCCUGGAGCUCAGAGGAGC
ensembl:lncRNA